rnacentral:tRNA from 1 species
GAGGAGUUCAGCGGCAGUUCGUCGGACUCAUAACUCGAAGGUCGUAGGUUCAAAUCCUACCCCCG